rnacentral:rRNA from 1 species
CAGCAGCCGCGGUAAUACGUAGGGUGCAAGCGUUAAUCGGAAUUACUGGGCGUAAAGCGUGCGCAGGCGGUUUGUUAAGACAGAUGUGAAAUCCCCGGGCUCAACCUGGGAACUGCAUUUGUGACUGGCAAGCUAGAGUGUGGCAGAGGGGGGUGGAAUUCCGCGUGUAGCAGUGAAAUGCGUAGAUAUGCGGAGGAACACCGAUGGCGAAGGCAGCCCCCUGGGCCAACACUGACGCUCAUGCACGAAAGCGUGGGGAGCAAACAGGAUUAGAUACCCGCGUAGUCCCUGUCUCUUAUAC